CAGUAGCCGCGGGAAUACGGAGGAGGCUAGCGUUGUUCGGAAUUACUGGGCGUAAAGCGCACGUAGGCGGCUUGGUAAGUUAGAGGUGAAAGCCUGGAGCUCAACUCCAGAAUUGCCUUCAAGACUGCCGAGCUAGCAGGUGAGAGAGGUAAGUGGAAUUCCGAGUGUAGAGGUGAAAUUCGUAGAUAUUCGGAAGAACACCAGUGGCGAAGGCGGCUUACUGGCUCAUACUGGACGCUGAGGUGCGAAAGCGUGGGGAGCAAACAGGAUUAGAUACCCCGGUAGUCCCUGUCUCUUAUAC
rnacentral:rRNA from 1 species